rnacentral:rRNA from 1 species
CAGUCGCCGCGGUAAUACAGAGGAUGCAAGCGUUAUCCGGAAUGAUUGGGCGUAAAGGGCUCGCAGGCGGUUUCUUAAGUCUGAUGUGAAAGCCCCCGGCUCAACCGGGGAGGGUCAUUGGAAACUGGGAAACUUGAGUGCAGAAGAGGAGAGUGGAAUUCCACGUGUAGCGGUGAGAUGCGUAGAGAUGUGGAGGAACACCAGCGGCGAAGGCGACUCUCUGGUCUGUAACUGACGCUGAGGAGCGAAAGCGUGGGGAGCAAACAGGAUUAGAUACCCGCGUAGUCCCUGUCUCUUAUAA